AUACGUAGGGUGCAAGCGUUAAUCGGAAUUACUGGGCGUAAAGCGUGCGCAGGCGGUUUUGUAAGACAGUGGUGAAAUCCCCGGGCUCAACCUGGGAACUGCCAUUGUGACUGCAAGGCUGGAGUGCGGCAGAGGGGGAUGGAAUUCCGCGUGUAGCAGUGAAAUGCGUAGAUAUGCGGAGGAACACCGAUGGCGAAGGCAAUCCCCUGGGCCUGCACUGACGCUCAUGCACGAAAGCGUGGGGAGCAAACAGGAUUAGAUACCCUGGUAGUCCACGCCCUAAACGAUGUCAACUGGUUGUUGGGGAUUUAUUUUCUCAGUAACGAAGCUAACGCGUGAAGUUGACCGCCUGGGGAGUACGGCCGCAAGGUUAAAACUCAAAUGAAUUGGCGGGG
rnacentral:rRNA from 1 species